rnacentral:rRNA from 1 species
AUUGAACGCUGGCGGCAGGCCUAACACAUGCAAGUCGAGCGGGGUUUUCGGACCUAGCGGCGGACGGGUGAGUAAUGCGUAGGAAGCUACCCGAUAGGGGGGGAUACCAGUUGGAAACGACUGUUAAUACCGCAUAAUGUCUACGGACCAAAGUGUGGGAUCUUCGGGCCACAUUCUAGCGGAUGCGCCCACGUGGGUUUCGCUGGUUGGUGAGGUAAUGGCUCACCAAGGCGACGAUCCCUAGCUGGUUUGAGAGGAUGAUCAGCCACACUGGAACUGAGACACGGUCCAGACUCCUACGGGAGGCAGCAGUGGGGAAUAUUGGACAAUGGGCGCAAGCCUGAUCCAGCCAUGCCGCGUGUGUGAAGAAGGCCUUCGGGUUGUAAAGCACUUUCAGUAGGGAGGAAGGGUUAAGUGUUAAUAGUACUUAACUUUGACGUUACCUACAGAAGAAGCACCGGCUAACUCUGUGCCAGCCGCCGCCGUAACAC